rnacentral:lncRNA from 1 species
UUCCGUGAUGCGCUAAAGGAGAUACAGCCAGGCAAACCCCAAAUCUGAAACGUAUGCAUGAGGAAUAUAAAUAAGGGAUGGCAAAUGUGAUUUGCGGGGAGAAGAAAAGAGGAGAGAGGGCAGGUGACUUGCUGGUGGCUGUGGGAGGAGCUGUGGCCUGAGGCUGGGGAAGGACCUCCCAUUUCUUAGCAAUCACAUCAAAUUUGGGAUUUUGGUGAUGGUUUUCCGACACCUCCAAA